rnacentral:tRNA from 1 species
GCCCGGGUGGCGGAAUGGCAGACGCUGGGGACUUAAAAUCCCCUGGCCGAAAGGCCGUGCCGGUUCGAGUCCGGUCCCGGGCACCA